UACAGAGGGGGCAAGCGUUAUUCGGAAUUAUUGGGCGUAAAGGGCGCGUAGGCGGCCAGGCAAGUGGAAGGUGAAAUCCCUCGGCUUAACCGAGGAACUGCCCUCCAAACUGCUUGGCUUGAGACCGGGAGAGGUGAGUGGAAUUCCCAGUGUAGCGGUGAAAUGCGUAGAUAUCUGGAGGAAUACCGGUGGCGAAGGCGGCAUCCUGGACCGGCAUUGACGCUGAUGAGCGAAAGCUAGGGGAGCAAACGUG
rnacentral:rRNA from 1 species